AGAUUUAUAAGACUGAAAAAAAAUUCGUACUGAGCAAUUACACCUCUCAAAAUUACCCUCCAAUCUACUUUGGACUCAUGGCUGAUGGUCAACCCAUUGGGAGAUAUGAUGAUGUGUGGGCUGGCUGGUGUGCCAAGUGUCUCAGGAGGUAGGAGCUAAGAUUAGCUGGGUACCUUGAUGCUUCAAAUGAUGGGCAUACAAGGACCCUUUUCAAUGUCCUGUUCGAUGUGGAUUUCAAGUAAUCUGUGAUCAUCUGAAUCUUGGGGUGAAGACAGGGCCUGCCAUACAUUUGGCAUAGCAAGGCAAGCAUUUCAUUUGUGAAUUUGCAGAAGGAAUACAAGGGCGUAUACUGGCAGGAAGACAUCUUCCCAUUCUUCCAAUCUGUUGUCCUGCCAAAAGAGUGCAGAACCGUGCAGCAAUGCUACCAUGAGCUUUCGAAACUGGUCAAGGAAAAUCUUGGUCCUGUUGAUCCCUGCUUUCAAAAACUUGGUGAUGCCAUGGUUACAUGGAUUGAAGCCUGGGACGAGCACAACUCACCGGCACAAGAAGCUGCAGCUCCCGUCAUUGGCGUUGAGAAAAGCUGAGUUCUCUCUUCAGCCUUAAGAGACAGCAUUUCAUUUAAUUUAAGAGAGAACUUCAUUUCUUUGACUGUUCUAGUUGGAUGUGAUUUCCUUUACCCUAUACCAUUAUGCUCUGCUUCCUUUUUGUCAUGCUUUGGAUCUGUAUGAUCCAGAUACAAAAGAUUUGUGAUCUAAAUAUAAGAAAGGAUUGUCAUUAUUUUA